rnacentral:lncRNA from 1 species
GCUGCAAUGGCAACUUCGUUCUUGAGUUGGACUUUGAACCAUUCACUGCUUCCGUCCCUCGCCCAACUCUUUCCAAGUCCAUUGGAAAUGGUGUCGAGUUCCUCAACAGACACCUCUCUGCGAAAAUGUUCCAUGACAAAGACAGCAUGCAGCCCCUGCUUGAUUUCCUCCGAACUCACCAAUACAAGGGGAAGGUAAACCCCUUUCUGUAGUCCAUUUUUCACAUUUACACUUACCCCUUAUGUUAACAAAUUGAUACCUAAUGGUUCUUGGUUGUCUCGUAUUCUUUUGCAGACAAUGAUGCUGAAUGACAGAAUUCAGAAUCUGGAUACCCUCCAAUUUGUUCUAAGGAAGGCAGAGGAGUAUCUGUCUUCACAGGCUCCAGAGACUCCAUACCCUGAGUUUGAGCACAAGUUCCAAGAGAUUGGCCUGGAAAGAGGGUGGGGUGAUACUGCUGAGCGUGUGCUGGAGAUGAUUCAUCUACUUUUGGACCUUCUUGAGGCUCCUGACCCCUGCACUCUUGAGCAAUUUCUUGGGAGAAUCCCCAUGGUUUUUAAUGUUGUUAUUCUCUCCCCCCAUGGCUACUUUGCUCAGGACAAUGUUCUGGGCUACCCUGACACUGGUGGCCAGGUGUGAUAAUUCGGAACCAACCAUACUCUCCUUUUUCUUCCUACCUUACAAAGGUUAAUUCUUAGGGACUGCUUGAUUUUAUCUUCCAGGUUGUUUAUAUUCUGGAUCAAGUUCGUGCCAUGGAGACUGAGAUGCUUCUCCGUAUCAAGCAGCAAGGACUUGAUAUCACUCCCAAGAUCAUCAUUGUAAGUUAGCAAAAGAUUAUAAUUGCUUGAUCCUUCUUCUGUUUGAUGUUGUUCUGAUUCUCUAAUCGAUACUUUUUAUCUUUCUGUGACACCCAGGUAACUAGACUUCUCCCUGAUGCGGUAGGGACAACUUGCAACCAGCGUAUCGAGAAAGUUUAUGGAACAGAGCAUUCAAUCAUCCUUCGAGUUCCCUUUAGAACUGAGAAGGGAAUUGUCCGCAAAUGGAUCUCCAGAUUUGAAGUGUGGCCAUACCUGGAAACUUACACUGAGGUGAAACACAGAUCUAUGUUUCUAUAUUUUCAAUCGAUGAUGGAUUUUCCCAUCUUGCAUCAUCCUCUUGGCUCACUAUCUGAGAUUAUAAAUAUUUUUGUGUUGGUAGGAUGUUGCAAAAGAGCUUGCUACAGAGCUACAGACCAAGCCAGAUUUUAUCAUUGGCAAUUACAGUGAUGGAAACAUUGUUGCCUCUUUGCUGGCUCAUAAGCUAGGGGUUACACAGGUUUGUACUGAAGUUUACAGUUUUUAUCUCUUUUGGUUUCUUCUGUACAGGGUAUCUCCUUUGUCCACUCUCAGUAGCUCACCCUUUCUCCCGGCUUUGGUAUCUUUUACAGUGCACCAUAGCUCAUGCCCUGGAGAAAACCAAAUAUCCAGAAUCAGACAUCUAUUGGAAGAAACUAGAGGACAAGUACCACUUCUCAUGCCAGUUUACAGCUGAUCUUAUUGCCAUGAACCAUACCGAUUUUAUCAUCACCAGUACCUUCCAAGAGAUUGCUGGAAGGUAUGCUUGGCACCUCAAAAAAAUAGUUUUCUUGUCCAAUGAUCUUCCCUACCCUAACUUGUUCUUCCCUUCCAUGUUUCCAGCAAGGACACUGUUGGGCAAUACGAGAGUCAUACUGGAUUCACCAUGCCUGGGCUGUACAGAGUAGUCCAUGGUAUCGAUGUUUUUGACCCCAAAUUCAACAUUGUUUCACCAGGAGCAGAUAUGACCAUCUACUUCUCCUACACUGAAGAGAAAAUGAGGCUGAAGGCCCUCCAUCCAGAAAUUGAAGAGCUUCUUUUCAGCCCCGUUGAGAAUAAAGAACACUUGUGAGUUCUUCUCUCUUUCUCCACCAGUUCACUUUCCCCAUCCUCCACUGGACUUGAUUUUUAACCAUCCAAUUGUGUCAAACAGAUGUGUACUAAAAGACCGUAACAAGCCAAUCAUAUUCUCAAUGGCGAGGUUGGACCGCGUGAAGAACUUGACGGGACUUGUUGAGUGGUAUGGUAAGAAUACCCGGCUCAGGGAAUUGGUUAACCUUGUUGUGGUGGGUGGAGACCGAAGGAAGGAGUCCAAGGAUUUGGAAGAGCAGUCAGAGAUGAAGAAGAUGCAUGAGCUCAUAGAAACCUACAAACUGAAUGGCCAGUUCAGAUGGAUUUCCUCCCAGAUGGACCGUGUCAGGAACGGUGAACUCUACCGCUACAUUGCUGACACCAAGGGCGUAUUUGUGCAGCCUGCCUUCUACGAGGCUUUCGGAUUGACUGUUGUCGAGGCCAUGACCUGUGGAUUGCCAACAUUUGCAACCUGCAAUGGUGGCCCAGCCGAGAUCAUUGUGCAUGGAAAGUCAGGCUUCCACAUUGAUCCCUACCAUGGAGACAAGGCAGCUGAGCUCCUUGCCAACUUCUUUGAGAAAUGCAAGGCAGACCCAACUCACUGGGAAAAGAUCUCCAAGGCAGGCCUGAAGCGUAUUGAAGAGAAGUAAGUGAAAAACCUUUCUUUUCUACAGGCAUUCCUUUGCAACUGUCCUGUUUCUGUUUCUUCACUAAGCUGUCCUGUUUCUGUUUCUUUGCUUCACAAUCCAAAGGUAUACAUGGAAAAUUUACUCUGAGAGACUGUUGACCCUGGCUGGGGUUUAUGGGUUCUGGAAGUAUGUCUCCAACCUUGACCGCCGUGAGACCCGCCGCUACCUUGAAAUGUUUUAUGCCCUCAAGUACCGCAAGCUGGUAAGCCCUUCACCACUAUCCCUGUGGGAUGCAAUUCCCUCAAAGUUUUUCUCUAGCUGAUGGUUUGCUCUGUUGUAUUUCCAGGCUCAAUCAGUUCCUCUGGCUGUGGAAGAGUAGCUAAAAGGCAGAGGCAUUGGCUAGAAGCAAGCUGCAGGUUUUCUGAGCUGUGUGGAAUAACUGUCAUUGUUUGAGGCUUGGCCGAAAAGAAGGCAUUUCAAUUUUUGCUUUUUGUUAUCUGUAAUGUUUGAACAUGGGAUGUUAAGGCUCCUGGAUUUCAAUUAAAAUCUGUUACACCUUUAUUGGGUAACACUGCUUGCCAAGAUUUGGCUCUGUUAUCUGUCAUAUUGGUUAAGAAUCAAAUUCCAAUCUUUCCCCUACUCCAGUUGCUUCAAGAGAGCAUUACCUUAUUGGGUGUCUUCAAUCUUUAAUGCCACGACAACCUUUUCUUGAAGCCAAUGGAGAUGCCUUCAUAUGGUGAGGUACUAAAGGACCCUCCAAGUAGACCCUUUUUCAGUUCCUUGGACACUAUAUGGGAAACUCUGAGCAGCAGAACUAGACUAGACUGUUUCAGGAAUGGGGUCAGUAAGAACCAAAUAAAAUUUUCAACCGUUCAUUACUAUUCAGUUGGGCUAAUGGGUGACAAACUGAAAAACAGAAUGGAGAAAACAAAAUAAUGAAAAUUGACCUCUCAGCCCAAGAAAAUAAGUUUUACCUUCUUUUUUUUUUUUUUUUGGAAAAAUAGUUCAAAACAAUCCAUUUUUGGUCGUGUAAUUACUUUUUUAAGAUUAAUUUAAAACCACAGUUUCACAAUAUGAUUUUUGUACCAUAGCUAUAAUCGUUGAAUGAGGUUUGAAACUAAUUUAAAGAAGAAAAAACAAAAAGCAAAACAUAGUCACAUGGACAAAAAGGAUUGUUUUGAACAAUUGUUGCAAAAGAGAUUCAUUCAAGACCUAUAUUCUUAAUACCCAAAAGGCCUAAUUUGAACCGAAACUUAAAACAAAGUCAUUAUUUUAAUAAGCAAAGCAAGAUACCAAAAAAGGGCAACCUAAGCGUGCGGCGUGCCAAGGCUCUGUUUCGGUAGGUACAUUGUUGCAAAACUCAAAAGGUUUUUAGUUGGGAGUAAUUCUAAUUAAAAAUGACAAUUACUUAUAUCAUGUUUGGUAAUUAUUUUUAAAAAUAAUUUUAAAAAAUUGUUAUAUGAAAUUUUAUAUUUUAUAAUACAAAAAACGAUUUAGUACCCUGAAAUAUGUGUAUUCUACGUAUAAAUAUUUUUUAAAACAAUCCUUAAAAAAUAAAUAAAAAUAACUAAGAUAUGUUUUUUAAAAACAUUUUUUACUUUAAAAAUAUAAAAUAAAAAAUAAUUUUUUUUUAUUGUCAAAUAUAUUUUCUCAUUUUUUUAUUUUGAAGAAUAAAAAAAUGUUAUAAAAAGUAAUUUUCAAACAAACCAUUAAUGUUUAAAUAUAUUAUUUUUUUUUCAAAAAAAUGUUUUGAUAAUGUUUUAGGUGAUGUAUUAUAAAACAAAAAACAAUAAUUUUCAAAAAAACCACUUAUUAAGCACUAUGUAGGAAUGAAAUUCAAUGUGAAAUUCAAGUGUAUCAUUUAACAAAAAAAAUAAGCUACCAGAACCCAAUUUUUAGAUAACAUUUUAAAUAAUAUAUAUCACACAACAAAAAAUAGUAAGUUAUGUUAAAAAAAAAAAUUGUUUCUAAGAAUUAGGAAACGUUUUUAAUCCCUUUUAAAAUCACUGGCAAACAUGUUUUUAGUUUUGUUUCCGAGAAAGCAAUGAAAAAAGGAUGAAGAGUCAGAUCAGAGAAGGAAGCAACCAGUUGCAAGUAUAAAGGUCCAGUACCCCAUUCAUUCAGGCACGGCCACAUCCCAUCUUCCUCUCAAAGUGCCUUCAUCUGAAGACUUCUCUUAUUCUCUCUUUUCUUGUUUUUCUCCGUGCCUUCAUUCAGUCAGAAGAAGUCCUCUCUUUUCUUGUUUUUCCCUGUGCCUUUAUUCAAUCAAAAGAAUUCAUGGAGUCCACCACCGUAAUCAAGAAAUUCCAUGAACCCCCCAAGGAUCUCACAAGGACCCGACUUAUGACCAUUGUACUUGGGGUCUUUCUCACACUCCCAACACUAAUUCUCUUUGCUUCAUUUCUCAACGAGGAAGGAGACCAAGAACUGGUCCGUUCUUCAACUCAACCUCAACCUCUUCAUCCACUCAUCAAGAACGCCUGCACCAACACUCUCUACCCUUCUCUCUGCUUCACCACUCUCUCUUCUGCUCCUGCUACUUCCAAGAACACCACCACCCUCCACCAUAUUCUUGAGAUUGCAGUCAAUGCAACGGUGAGCUCCGUGAUGGAUUCUGGGUCCGAUAUUAAAGCCCUUUUCACCUACCAAGACUUGAAUUCUCAAGAGAAGAAUGCUCUGAAUGAUUGCAUGGAAAUGACAGACCAAACCCUCUAUGAACUUGGACAGGCCAUUGACGACCUGCAUGCUUUCCCGCCAUCUAUAGGGGAUCCUCAUCGGUUAUACACGAACCUUAAGACCCUUCUCAGUGCAGCCAUGACAAAUGAGAACACAUGCAUCGAUGGAUUCACUGACCUGGAAGAAGCCGAUUCUGAAAGCCAGAAGGGUCUCAAGGGACAUCUCCAAUCCGUCUUAACUCCUAUUUCUGGUAUGAUCAGCAACUGCUUGGCCAUUAUCAAGUACAUGGAAACCAUAGCCCUUAGGGACAGAAAGAUCAUGAAUACCACAAUGCCAAGGGACGAAUUCCCAGCAUGGAUGACAGCCAUUGAUCGGAAACUGAUUGAAAUGGUGCCUAAAAUAAGGCCAGACAUCGUUGUUGCAAGUGAUGGCAGUGGACAUUUUAGCACCAUUGGGGAAGCAAUCAGUACGGCGCCUAACAAGAGCAGUAAUCGAUUUGUGAUUAAAAUAAAGGCAGGAGUAUACAAGGAAAAUGUGGAGAUUCCAAGGGAAAAGGUCAAUAUCAUGUUGGUAGGAGAAGGGAUGAAUUCAACAGUGAUCACAGGGUCUAAAAGCUUUGUUGAUGGGUUUUCCACCUUCACUUCAGCCACCUUAAGUAUGGUUACUUUCUGCAUAUAGGCUUUUGUUCUUCAGAUUCAUUUGCCUGAGCUUUCCUGAAAGAUUUCUUGAAACAUAUAAUUUUUUAUUUCUGGUAUCUUCUGAAAAGUCAAUGACUCUUACCUUGAUUUUUGUAGCUGUGGUUGGAGACAAGUUCUUAGCAAGGGACCUAACCAUCAUCAACACGGCAGGCCCCGAGAAGCACCAGGCAGUUGCAGUAAGAGUGACCUCCAAUUCUGCUUUCUACCGCUGCAACUUCAGCUCGUAUCAGGACACCCUCUACGCUCAUUCUCUCCGCCAAUUCUAUCGUGAAUGCACAAUCCAAGGCACAAUAGAUUUCAUCUUUGGAAAUGCAGCAGCAGUCUUCCAAAACUGUCUUAUACUCGUUCGCAAACCAAGCCCCGGACAAAAGAACAUGAUCACUGCUCAAGGGAGAGGAGACCCAAAUCAGAACACUGGCAUCUCAUUACAAAACUGCACCAUAGUAGCUGCACCAGAAUUCCCUUUGGCUGAGAGACGAAACUUUUUGACUUUCCUGGGUCGCCCAUGGAGGAACUACUCAAGGACUAUGGUCAUGAAGAGCUACUUAGGAGAUCUGAUAAACCCACAGGGUUGGUACAAAUGGAAUAAGUAUAGCACUUUAGACACUGUGGAGUACAUUGAAUACCUGAACUUUGGACCAGGAUCAGACACAAGGCACAGAGUCACAUGGGGUGGCUACAGAAAGAACUGCAGUGAAGACAUAGCCAAGCAGUUUACAGCUGAAGUUUUUCUACAUGGAGCCAGUGAGUGGUUAGAGUCCAUUGGUUUUCCCCUAGUUCAUGGCUCAUAAGGAAACAUUGACACGUAUUCUACAUAUACAGCUAUCACUAUAGCUAUGAUGUAUUCUACACAUUUGUAGUGUGAAGAACAGAUGGGAAAAAAAGUGAAUCUGUCUGUACACUUUGAUGCAAGUAUGAAAAAUGAACCCUCUGAUAAACACAGUUUAUACUCGUGUUGCUUUCUACUUACAAAAAAUUGCUUUGUAUCUGAUGCUUGGGAUAUACCAACUGUACACUAAACAGAUGCCUUGGUGUAGCAUAAGAAACAACAGCAGGAGCAGCUCUUUGAACUUCCAAUUUCCUUAUUUCUUCUUUCCCUUUGCCUUCCCUCCAUCCAAGACUCAUUUUUCCUCUCACAGAGGAUAAAUUUAGUAAGCACAUUAGCUGAAGGCUGACAUGGACUUCCAAGCCAUACCAAUCUGACACACCAACAACAAAGGCAUCACCAAGCAAUAUGCUAUUCUUCAGUAUCUGCUUUUGAUCAUGAAAUUGUGUAUUCUCAAUUUAUUCCUGAAGGGUCUUUGUUUUCUUCUUAUGUAGAGGCCGUCUUGGAUAGAGAACUAUCGCCAAUAUCAUUGAGAAGGCAAGACCAACAACUCCGCUAAAUGGUUGAAGUGGGUGAGUCCCAGUUACCCAAAGAGGAAAAUUGGGUUGGUAUUUUAUGAAACCACCAAUUUGUAAGAUGAAAGUUGAAGCCAUUAUCCCUGCACGCAGCCCAAUAGGAAGGGAGAGGCUACCUUGACUUCUUUGCCGAGCCCCUGCCAGAACCAAAGAUAAGAGCCAUAGCCCGGGUAUUGACAGUGGAGACCUGAAACCCAUUUGAAAAGAGGCUUAUGAUGGUCUUGCAUGUAAUAAGCACUUUGAUAACCAUAGCCCUCACAAAAUCAACACGAGAAUCAUAAAAAGGGAGAAAGAAAGAAAAGAAAAAAUCGCAAUGAGUAAAUCUUGCCUGUGGCACAUAGAGAAAAACAGCAAAAACUUGUCAAUGGAGGUGUUUGUAAACAACCAAAUGAUUUAAUCUCCAAACAAAGGGGAAAGAGAGCAUCUCUGGAUAGAUGAAGAUAAAACUACACAGAGAAACAAGGAAAGUUCCAGGGCUUAAUACUAGGGUUUGAAUUGUUAAGCCUUGCACCUAAUUGGUUAAUUUGAAUUCCAGAUGAGUUUAACCAAUGGUCAAGGUCAAGUGUGUAACUAAACUGCACUUAUGUAAAAUGGGAAAUAUUUCUUUUAAGUUCCAAUUUUGGUCAAGCAUCUAUUAGAAAAAGAAAAUUCUGCAACUGGGGGCUGAUCUCAAAAAACUCACAUUUGGACUUCAGGAUGAACAAAAGAAGCUAAAUUAGAAAGUCAACAGCAGAAGUUAGUGACCGCAUCUCACCACCCAAACACUUAUCCACUCUUUUCUUCUCUCAGGUGAAAAAGAAAAGAGAAAGAGAAAAGAAAAGGGAUGAUACACAUAGCUGAAGGGCAGAUGUAACUGCAAAUUGGCAAAUAGAAAACAUACCUCUGGCAUAAAGAAAAUGCAAGUCCUGAAAUGAUGAUUCCACGAUUGUAUCCAAGAUCAGCGGCAAUUUCUUCAGGCAACCACGACCUGAAAAGCAAUUCUUCCACAAGUGAAACGCUGACUGCUGUUAUAAUCCCCCGAACAGUAAGCAUAAGCAUUUGCCCGUACACUUUGAACAAUGUCUUAGUGUCAAAAGCUGCAGGCCAAGAGAGACUGACAAAUCCAAGUAAUGCAUUCACAGAAUGUAUAGACAUAACAAGCAUAACUCCUCCAAUCAAACCCUUCAGAAAAUUUUGGAUCUGCAAGCAAGGAACACAACUUUAGCUUAUUCUUUCCAAGAAACAGAACAUGAAAGGGAAUUGAAUCAAUUUCAGAAACACCUUCAAGUUUUAAGAUAAAAACCUAUAGCCAAGUGUAUUUAGGGAAAACCAAAAAUUAAUAAUGCCAUGACGGAUUUAGAAAAGAAAAAGUAUUUGUCAAUUAUCCAGAAAAGAAAUGACCAAAACCCUUUGAUGUGUAGGGACAUUUCUCCCCAUUGUUUAUGGGUGUGUCCAGGCUAAUCAAAAGGGAUCUCAUGCAAAUGCAUUUUUGUCACCCAUUGUUUUUAGGCAUACACCCACAGCCUCAAAGACACUGAAAAUAUUUAUGUAUAAUAGUAAACUCACAAGCUCACAUAAACAUUUCCGAUCUAGAUUAUGUAGCACACUCUAUGCAUGGUUGGAACACAUAAUUCAUUUCUGUGUCCCCAAACUUGCUGAAAUCCAUACCUCUGGUGAUGAUGUCAAAUCCAGUCCAUAUUCCUCAAAUGGAUUUUCAUACCCUCGAAUUCUCUUGCCCCAUAACAUGACAAGUAUCACAACAGCAGUAUAAAGGCCAACAAUGCAAACAAGCUCAGCAAUCCGGGAGGAAUUAUUUGUUGUCCAGCUCUGCACAAGUGUUGGGAGCAAUGGAACCACAACUGGUGACCAUAAAACAAGCACCAUGCAGACAAACCCAAGAAUCCUAGAGAAGAAAACAUGAUUGUAGAAAUAACCAAUGAGUAAAACAUUCACAGCACACAAUUUCAACAAAAAAUGCAUUAAUAGACCAAAAAAAAAAAAAGAUAACCAAAGGAUUCCAAAAAAUUAUAGAAUCUGCCACCACAAUUUCCAGAAUAAAGAACAGGAUAACUGGAGAAGUUCCACCUUUUGCAUCCCCCCUCACAGAUCAUAAGCAUUGGUGGAGCCAGAAAUGUACUUGAAAGGAAGCAUCAUACCAUUGAUCUAUGAGACUUUAUAUCUUAAAUAACCUUAUCUCUCUUCUGGAGCAAUUCUAGAGAAGUCAUAGAAAAUCAGGCAAGUGAGACUUUUCAUUUGGAAGUUAAUGGUUGUGUCCAUGUUAUUUUACUUUAUGAAAAGGGUAAUAAACACAAAUAAAGUUGUAAAAGAAUCAAGCAAAUGAAGCUCUUUGUUUGAAAAUUUAACAUGGUAUUAUAUUGCCUUUUUCUUUUCUUCUUAUGUUUUUUCUUCUCUCAAAAUAUAAAAUAUGAAGGGGCUUGGAAAAUUUUAUUUAAGUGAGAGAUGAAUUUAAAUGGGACUUCUGUUUUAGAUUUUGUGUUUUAACAAAUACAAAUUAUUAAGUGAGAUAAAUGAAUUGACAUGAAACUUCUAUUUUUAUAUUUGAAUUUAAACAACUAAAAAUUAUUAAGAGAAAAAGAUUUGAACAGAGCUUUUAUUUUAAUAUCUAUAUUUAAAUAAUUAAAAAUUAAGAAUUUUUUUAUAAUAUAAAUUAUCAUUAAUCGAAUCAGAAUAUGCAUCUUAAUACUAAGAAUUGAACUUCCUAUAAUUGAUCAAGGUCAAAUUUUCAACCAUCUUAUUUAUUCUUGUUAUAUAUGGAGGAAUAGUUUAAAAGAUAGAGGUCACUGGUUUUUAAAGGGGGUCAAGAUCCCCCGGCCCCUAAGUGGGUCUGCCAUUGAUCAUUGGUCAUAAAUAAUAUCAGCCACAUCCAUAUUUGUGUUUGGCUUAAGGUUUUCAGAAAUGUUUGUUGUAGAUAUAUGAAAAAGAAACAUGAAUUAUGGUGAGUGCUGUUAAACAAAACAAAAGUGCUAGUAUGAUGUGGAAUCAACACUACUGUCAAAAGGGUAGACAAUCAAGACUGGCAUCAUAGGCCAGCAAAAAAAAAUUGACAGGCAGAGCCUGUGCAUAGUUAAACACUAUAGGCCCCAAACCGUUUUUAAGUAAGAAGAAGAAGAAGAAGAAGAAAAGAAUGAAUAUGAUAUACAAAAAUUCGAAAUGUAAGUUAGCAUUGUUAAAACUCACUCUUACAUCUAGAUGUAACAUUAAAAAUAUAUAUUUCCCAGACUCCUCAACUAACAAGAUAUUAUAAUAGGCUAUAAUUCCACUAGCAAUGACAAACUAAUAAAUCAGCCAAUGAGGCAGGGGAAAUAUACCACCAGCCAAAAUGAAAUAAAAUAAUAACCAUCAAUCUUACAUGAUGAUUAUCAGAAACAGGCAGCUGGACCAAGAUUCAGGUUCGAUGCCAAGAGCUUGCAAAAGCAAUGGCUUUGUUGCCAAUGUGAUGACAUGAAUAUAGAUUCUUGGCUAUUAGACCAUAUAUCUCCAAAACCAACAAUAAAGCGAAUGGCAAGCUAUAUCAUUUGAUAAAUAUUAACAUUAAGGCUAAAGGAUGGCAAAAACAAAAGAAAGAUUUCAGGAAUUUCCAUUUUUCAAUAUUAAUUAUACCCAACCUCUGUGCCAAAACUAACUGAAGUCAGCUAAUAUAUCUUUCUACUGGUUUAACUUUUAACUUUGUUUCUCAACAAACUUUUUCUUAUGGAAAUCAAAAUUUUUAACCCCUGCCUAGUUAAAUUUCAAUUAUUACAGUAACAGUAUAUUCUUUCACUGCAAAGAGAGAAGGAUGCAGAGGGAAAUUCAGUAACUUAAAAUACCUCUGGAACAAGGGGCGGUCAGCAAAACGCAAAAAAGAGAUAAGCCUACGGGUUAAACUCACUGCACCACGUAUUCCACCCCAAAGCAAAGCAAUUUUACCAACCAGCUUCAACAUGCCACCUUUUUGUCCCAAAUCUGCUAACAUGGCAACCAACCUGUUCACAUAAGAUAUGACAAAAAAAUUCAAUAAACAGAGAUAUUAAAUACAUAAUAAAUAGGACUUUACAUGGAUCAAAUGAUCAGACCUUUCUUGAUCAACUUCACCAUCUCCUUUUGUUGGUACCACUGGACCAGCAACUGACAUGGCUUUCUCAGCAAGGUUUGUGACUAUGUUAUUCUGGUUUUUUUCCAAUGUCUCUUCAAUCUUGUUAGGCUCUUUCAGUUGAAUUCCUUUCUCCUUGAAGGGCUUGGAUGAACUGUCAGCAGUUUCAUUACUGUUGUAUGGAUCCUUUACAAAUAUGAAUGACAAGAAGCAUGAGACACACACAGAGGCUACACAUAUGCAAAGAAAACUCCGAAAGGCAGGUUACAAAAACCAAUUAAAAUGAUAAUGCAAAAGCUUCUAAAAAGAUCGAUUAUUACCCGUUGAUUCACCAGUAAAGCAGAUGCCCCCAGGGCAGCUGUAACAGCACCAACCAUGACAGUGCUAUCGUUUAGAUUUCUUAAUUUUGCUUUCUUCCCGUCUCUGCUUAUUUCUAAAUUCAAAUUUUCAGUUUUGUCAGAAGGAGUCUGAUCAUUCUCUGUUUCACUGACUUGACCAUGACUUUUUUCUUCAACAAUUUCCAGUCCAUCAAGGGUCACAGCUUCAUUUUGGCCAGUAUCAUGCACUGCAGCUACAUUGAAGAAUUUUCUCAAAGCAGCUAAGCUAGAUCCUACAAUAACACCCACUGGCAGCACUCUCCUCAAGUGACUUGUAUCCUGAAUGGCAGAUGAGAUUGCUCUAACAAUACACUCUCCAUAAACAGAACCAACCUUUUUUAUAGUAUGGCCGGUUCUAUAGUCAUUACUGUCCACAUGCCAACCAUGCUCCUUGUCUUGUCCAACAAUCAGGGACACAGCAUUUGCAAUUUGUUCUAAAUCUCUAGCAAGCUCAAACUCCAUCUCCUUCAUGUAUGAUGCACUUAGCCUGCGACUAACUUCAACCUUCAAAGCAUCCACAAUAAUGUUCUUAACAAAGCAUAUCAACUCCUCGGACCUAUCAUUGCCAAGUGCGGCCUUUUCAUUUUUUAUGUCCACUGUCUUGUACCCUCUAACUGGUUCAUGUUGUUUUUCAGUAUCUAAUAUCACAUAUGAAGGUUCAAUAAUCUUUCCUGCGUUACUUUUAGAAGAUAAAUAGGCCUGACUCAUUCUGUCAAUACCCUUAAGAGUUCUGACAUCACCAACGGAAUCCCCAGUGUUUCCUGGCUGUUCCAAUAGCUUCCAUUGACCUUCUUCUGGAAAAUAGUCAAGAAACAGAGCAGUAGUUGUAUCUAAAUCUAGUGAUUUGGUAUUUGGUAUCUUUGAAAGAAGAUACUUUCUUAAGUAUUCAUUAUAAAGAGAAUCUCCAUAUGGAGUUGCAGUUAUGUAAAGUGGAAUAUUAUUUACAUGACUAUGUCUAUCUAAACUUCGAGCCAAAAGUUUGUCACCAACAAAAUGGUCCUUCCCAUCUUCCUUUUUACCUACAUGGCUAUCUGUGUAAUUUCUAGAACUACUGGUGCCAUUCCCUCUGAAUGGAAUUGGGGUCUGACUGGAUUUCUCCUCUACCCAUCUGGGUCCUGCAUCAAGCAAUGUAUCUGUAUGAUUCUCAUGCCAACUGGGUACAGUAGGAUCAUGUAAGAUGUCAGACUCAAAGUUCAGGCCAUUCUUAUUGUCUUCUUCCUUUUCCAACUUGUGGUUGCUAAUGACUUGAUUAUUCUGUCUCUCAGAACCACUUUUCUCAUCCUUGACCACAUCCUUAUCUAUGACUUCAUCUUGAUUGCCUUUUUCCUCCAACUGAGUAAUCAUGUCUUCAAUUACACCAAAAACACUGUUCACAGCCACUUGAGUAGAAUCAUCCAACCCUGUCAAGGUAUCGAAGGCUUGAGAGACACUGAAAGUUGGGGAAUUAGAAUCUGACAUAAUGGUAUUAUUUUGAUCAAGAAUAGGCUGCAUGGUUUUGUCUUCUUUCUUUUGAUUAUCACUAACUUCCUUUUCCAUCACUUGUGGCUCAGAUGAGGAUCCAGGAGGUGAAACUGCCUCAUCUAUCUUGGUGGAAGGAAUCAUCUUAUUUUGAUCAGUUGAAGAAUCCAGGAUUUUUCCUUCAUUUUUUUGGAAAUGAUUCUCCUCUUUCAUCUCUAUCUGAGCAUUUCUACCAUCGUGAUCCAACUUUUGAUGAUCACUAAUUGCUUCCUCCGUGCCAUCUGCCUUUUCAGACUGACUAGAAAAAUUAGGAUUAGCACCUGUUUCUGAUCCAUUUCCACUUUUCUCAGAAUAUUGAGCAGGCUUUUCCUUGGAAAACUCAUUAUUUUCCUGAUUAUUCACUGCAUCAAUGGUGCUCUUAUUGACUGAGCUAGAGACUUCACCGCCUUGACCACCAACUGGUUGAGCCUGACCCAGAUCAAUAGAUUUUUGCAACUUCUCUGAGGGCUGAAGCUCUGUUUCUAGUCUGCCAGCAGGUUUUUCAUUGCCAGAUUGAUUAUUAUUAGUGCCAUCUGCCAUAUCAUCAGCCCCUUUCCUCUGAUCAGAAGAAUGAGCAUCCUUAUGCAUACCUUCUCCACUUGAUGUUAAUCCAAUUUCUUCUUGGAUCUUUGAUUUCAAUCCUGACGAUACAUUAGGAAUCUGGCCAAUCCUCAGAAGACCCUCAAAGUUUAAAUUUGUGCCUUGAGUAGACAAAAUUCCAGAAACAGCAGUAGAAAGCUUUCCACGAACAUCUUCUGGGACAGCAUCUUGCAAAGCUUGCAUAACUGUUUCUCCUUGACCUACGGCAGCCAGGACCUGGAUAUGAAUACUGGGUAAGUACCAUAAAACAUUCCAAUCAGGGCAAGCAAUACCACGAUUAUACAAUAAAUAACAACCCAUAAACAUGCUCCAUAUCAGACUCCACCAAGGAGAAAAUAGGAAACAUAUCACAGAAAACUGAUGAUGAUACAACACAAGUAUCUUGUACAAAAAAAUAUAAGAAGGCAAUUUCUUGGAAAAAAGAAAAACUAUAUUUGUCCUGCUUGAGCUAUAGAAGAAUUCCUGAACCAAGUCAAAAGUAGAAUAUCCAUCUAGAAUUAUGAACCAUAUUAUAUUUGUUGAGAAUGCAAGAUGCUGAUGAUGGUUAACUUUGAUAAUCUCAUAUUUAUGUUGGCAUUGUUGCUUUUAUAACAGGAAAAUGGAGCUCCUAUUUCCACACCUUGUCUAACCCAGUUUCAUGCUUAAAACAGCAAGUCAUGCCACAGAAUGUUGUUUCAUACCAAAGAGCAGAGCCACCGACUGUAACAUUCCUUCUUUCUCCACAAGAGCACUACCACAUACACAUUAAGCUACAAGUAGCAGCUCAUAAAUAAAAACUGCAAUAUUGCACAAGAAGAAAUGAUGCCAAAAUCUACAGCAUAACUUAUAUGACCUUAACUAGCAGUUUUUUUAUACUUGCAUAAUUUGAUAACUUCUUUUUCCAUGAUAUGCAAAUGACUCAGAAGAUAAAAUAGAGAUCUGGAGUUCAUGCACCAUACAAUAUCUAUGCUCUCUUCAGAUAUUUACAGCACUCAAAUCUGAACAUGGACACAAUAAUCAUAUGAUUAAAAAGGUUUAGAGAACCAGUGUAAUCACAGCUGUGACAUCAGGACAUGAACUUGCAAUUCUUAUGUGUUACCUUCUUCUUAUGUUCUUCUGUUAGAGUACCAGGCAUAGUCGUAUCAAGCAUGUUCAUAACCACUUGUGCUGUCUGUAGAACUUGCCCUCUUUCGUUAUCUACUGAGCUAAUUACAUCCUCUUUGAUUAAUUCUGCAUCAACAGAGCUGCUCUGCUGCAAUGUACCGUUGUGCACUUGUGGCAAUUCCUUGUCUUCAAUUUCCAAAUUUCUCCAUGAAUCUUGCCCAAGGCGGAUGUUAGUAGCUGCAAGCAUCUCACUAACAGGAUCCAUAGAAUGUUCACUUAAAGCACUUGACUUCUCAGGAUUGAAAAACUUAUUGACUCUGCUACUCUUAGGAGUGGCUCUGCCUUCCACAAGAGCCAAACCUUUUAAAGGAUUGAUGGUAACAUCUACAUCUUUCAGAAGAGGAUGGCGACCCUUCAGAAGUCCUAGCUCCACUGACGCGAGCCACUGCAUAUACCAAAUGCAAGCUUAUCAGAAUAUUACUUGCAAGAAAUGCAUCAUGAGUUGCCAAAAUCCUGGCUUGCCAGUGAAGUUUAAUGAAACAAUUUGUAAAUGCAACUUUUCAAGAAAUUCAAAGCAAGCAGUGGAAAUUCAAACAGUUAAAAGAAGUUAAAGGCAUUAUAUUGUAUGCUACACUUAUAAAGGCUCUAAAUUCAUUGAUUUCAAUUGGAAGCCUAAACUACAAAUUCAUUAAACGUAACACAGAUGUCAGGUUUAAACAAAUUAAAUUUUAUAGCCAGAAAUGGUCCUAACUCUGAAUUUUUAUUACCACAAUCCUCUUCCAUUGGCUAAUAUGAAUACAGAAUAUGCAGACAAAGCUUGUACAAUGAGACCAUGAUCGAUGAUAAAGAAGAAAUUUCAUUACCUCAAUGGUUACAUUCUGACACCAAGAUAUAGCUGAUCUGCCACUCAAGAUGACACUAGUUGAAGAACAAGAACACAGAAGCAAGCUUGUGAAUGGAUUUUCUGCUAUCAAACUGCGUGGAAUAGAGAAUAGCGGCGUUGUCCCAUCAUCAUUCUGUUAAAUUGACAGAACUGUAACUAGUAAGAGACUCUUUUUGGCAUAAAAUAAUGGAUAGGAAACUUUUAACAUGUUUUGAAUAACUUAUAAAAUAUUAUCCAUAAAAUGCAGAAUAAGAACUCCCACAGGAAAAGGUUAGGAAAAACUGGGAUUUUUGAACAUAAAGGCCAGAUGCCAACAAUUAAGGUGUUUGCCUCUUGGCGAGGGAUUUGUUUGGGGGUGGAGAGUUGUGAAAUAAAAUAUAUCUAUCAUUGAAUUGGCAGUUAAUAGACAUCCAGAAAGUUUUAACUAAUGUUAAGCAAAGCAAAUAUGAAAUCAGAGAACAAAGUUAGCAUUAUAGCAUGGGUGAGACUGGUACAGAUUUUUAUUUUUUUUUCUGUUUCUGUAAGAGGCUGUUAAGACAUUAGGAUAAUUAAAUCCUCCAAUUGCAGUUAUAUGGUUGCCUUUUCAAUGAACAAAUUUCCAUUUCUGUAAGAGGCUGCUCAGACAUUAGGAAAUUUAGAGCCUCCAACUGCAGUUAUAUGGUUGCUUUUUCAAUGAGCAAAUUCAUAUGGGACACAUGCAAGCAUAUUUUUAUAGAAAUUUUCACACAUCUUAGGUAUUUAGACAUCUGUGGAACCAUCCAUGAACUAAUUUACACAUAGCCUCAGAGGCUCUAUUUAUUGAAAUUGAAAAUAUUUCCUUGAGAUAUUUUAUGGAAAGCUCCAAUUAUCUCAAAUUCUUAAUGGACUUUAAACAUGAAGAUUCUUAAUGGAUGUUUCAUUGAAACAAUUAGAAGAUCAAAACACAUAACACAUAGGCAAUCUUGGGCAAAAUUCACAUGUAAGAUAACAUUAAAAGUACAGAAUAUGCACCUGUAUAAAGAGAACAGGAAUCUUCACGUUUCCAACAAUACCUCGUGUGCUAGAUUUUGAAUAGAAGUCUUCUAUAGCAUCAAAACCAUAAGAUACCAUAGAUAUUGCUUUUUCAAAAUCACGAACAGUCUUGGCCGAAAGAGCCUUUUCCACAUCAAAACCUUUUGUUCUGCCUUGAAAUAGUUCCUGGACACAUUUAAUAGUGUCAUAGCAGAGACUUUUUUAUUUUAUCAGGAUCAUAGAAGAGGUUAUAACAGUAACGAGGAUGAUAAAUAGUGCAAACCAGUUCCCAAAUUUUGAAGCAUAACAGGCAAAAAAUUAUGUUUCUUUUGAGUUAUGAUUUUUCUUUCAUGAAAAAAAAAUAUUGCAUUAAAAAUUUAAACCAAUAAUGAACCUUGUUGGAUCUGAGAAUAUCUAUCAGUCCACCUGUGAGCUUUUGAUCAACAACAAUGUGAUUAGGGGCCACCCUUGAGGCCUCCUCUAAGUCAAAAGGAUUGUCUAUGCAUGUGGCAGCAGUAAGAGGUGUUUUCUCUCCAACCUCUGCCAGGUACUUUGUCAACAUGUUGGCACCAUAUCCCCAGCCAACACCCAUCAUUGUAGUCCAUGGCCUUGCUCUAUUGAUGAACUGUAUAGCUGUGCAGAUAUCAUCGCUGUCAGCAGCUGUAAAUAACCUACAUGAAUGAAGUAAUUAAGAUGUCCUACUAUCAGCUCGUUUUGCAAGAAAAUUUCUAAAGUAAUCUGGAGUGGAUUAUUUUUCUUGUCUAGAAAACUAAGUGUGAAAAUUGUUUCCUUCUGCUAGGAGAAUGAGUACAUAAAAGUUGCAAGCCAUUGCAUGAAAAUUUUCAUAUGUCCAAACAAGAACAACAUCCCCAUAAUCAAACAGUUAUAAAGAUGCUGACUUUACAAAGAAUGAAUAAUUCACCACUUUAAGGUCCAGUACUAUGUCACUGAAAACAGAAUGAACUAAUAAAAAGGAUAGCUACUCACCGAGCUGUGGUCAGGGGUGAACCAGCACAACCCCUAGGAUUCAUCACAACUGGAAAAUAGCCACGCCAAAGUGCUUCACAUACGAAAGAACGCACAUUCGGAUCCAUGCUACCUUCAGCCGUUCCGGGAAUAAGCAAAACAGUAGUAUCCAAACCAUGCUCCUCUGUCAAAUCCAAAUUAGCGGGCCAAUCCAAAGAUACGACACCUCCGUCAUCCAUGCCCACGCACUCUCUCUGAUAAGCGAGCUUCUCCUCAACUAUAGCAUCCCUCCCAUCGUAACCCCUCACUUGAAUCCUCCCACUAUUCAAUCUCACAAAGUGUCUAUCCUCCUUCACCAGCCUCUCAUUCACGUCCUCCAACAACUCGCUCCCUUCAAACGAUAUCGAUGGGCACCGAAGCAGCACGAACCGAUUGAACGGCGUGGGACUCGUGAACAAAAUCCACUCUCCAAUGUCCGAAUCCUCCCCCGACCUGAACCGCGAUAAGUAGAGCGCGACUCCGGAAGCAAACCCCAGCGCCGGAGCCACCAAAUCCAGUGAAUUCACGGACGGAAACUGAGAAACCAAGGUGUGGAACAAAUUCUCAAAAGUUGACGGAACAAGCGACCCUAAUUGACUCCGGACCACCAGACUUGGAAUUGAUUUCAGUCUCCGACGCCUCCAUACGCGGAUUUGUAAAGCUCUCCUGCAUCUUCUGGGAGAGAAUCUGAUCGGAGAGUGAAGAUUGAUAUUAGCAAAAUUACACGCAGAGCUCAUUCUCCUCCUCUUCCUCCUCGCCUACGUUGGAUAGUACGGAUUCAAAGAGAUUUGGAUAUGGAAAAAAGAGAACUUGGCUAAAAGCUAAAGGAGAAUAGAACAAGCCUGAAAGCUCCAGAAAGAGCGAAGGUAGCGGUCGAUAAUUGCGGAAGUGACCUGCCGGUGGGGCUUUUUUUUUUUUUCUAUUUUUUUCCCUAUUAUUUUCUCUCUUUCCCAAUUUUUCAACGACAAAAAAAAAAAAAAAAAAAUAGUUUAUUUGGUUAAAAGGAUUAAUGAAAACUAAUUUUGAAAGUUUAAUCCUUCACCCAUUUUUUAUUUUAUUUUAAUAAAAUUAUUCUUUUUUGUAAAAAUAAUUAUUACUUUUAAAAUAUAUAUGUAAAUAUUUGAAAUAAUCAAGGAAAUAUAUGACAAAAAUGAAAAAAAAAUAUAAAAAAGAUUAAAUUUAUAAAUAUGAGAAUUAUUUUAUUAUUUUUUAACCAAUUAAUUCUUACAAAAUAAGUAAAAAAUAUAAUUUUUAUAUCAUUGAAAUUGUUUAUUAUUUAUAAAAUUAUAUUCAUCAUCUUCCCAUUAGAUGUUAAAUAAAAAAUUAUGAAAUUUAUUUAAUGAAAAUGGUUUGAAGCUACCUCUCAUUUACAUUUUAAAUGUGAGGAUAAUGAUAAAAUAAUGAAAAAUACUUGGUUUAAGUGUUUAACUGGCCCAUCAAAUAAUGGUUUGAAGCUACAUUUUGAACUUGUGUUUAUUUAGUAUACAACUUUUCUAUGGACUAAAUUGGGUCAGGCCCGUAUAAAGGGUGGGCUCAGGCCAGGGUUAUUUAACCACCCGUAUAUUAUUUACAUUAUUCUAUAAAUCGGGCCUCAUUUGGGCCUUUGUUGGGCCAGAUACAGGGCUAAAUUUUUUUCUCCAUUGGUUGUGCAAGAUUUAAGCAAGAGCCUUUUAACUACUAAAUGAAAGAUAAAAUAAGAAGAGAAAGAGAGAAAUGAAAUAAAUUGUAUUCAAUUUGACUGUUCGAAUUACAAUUCUUGUGGAAAUGUGGGUAGCCCACGAAUUUAAUUGCAUUUUAAAAAUUAUUUUUAUUAAAAUCAAUGAUAAUUUUAAUAAAAUUUGAAUUUAAAAAUUAUUAAUCUUUAAACCCUACUCUGUAGACUAUGUUUAGUUUUCAAAAAAAUUAAGAUAAAAGGCCAGAAAAAGAAAUUGAAAAAAAAAUUAAGGAAAAUUUUAAAAAAAAAAUAGAUUUAAAAUCAAUAAAUAAAACUCAUCUCUCUUAUGUUAACUCUUUAUUAAAUAAUUUUAAAAUAUAUAAAUUUUUAACUAAUUUUAAUUUUAUAUAUAUAUAUAUAUAUAUACAUUUUUCAUAGUAAAUUCCUUAACAUUUUUUUUACCUUCUUUAAUUCCUAAAAUGAAACUAUGUUAAGAAUAGUAUCUAUCUAAAUAUUUAUGGGCUUAAACGUGGUUCUCUUGGGGUUUUGCUUAGGGCCACUAAACGUAAUGCCCGAUAAGCACAUUCACAAGCCCAAAUGUAAUCCCAUCUUCUUAUAUUCAAGCUUGGGGCAAUAUCAACCUACAUUGGUUCAAAGUUACAACUCUUACAAUUAGGGUUGCUAAUGGAAUGGGUUUCUAUCUACGACCCCAUAUUUAUUUAUAUAUAUUUCCAUUUCCACCUAAAAGAAAAUUUUAAAUGGGAUGAGAUGUAACAAAUUCUCAUACUAGCUCUUACUUUUUUUUUUCAAUUUCAAUUUUUUAUUUUUAAAAAAUUAAGAAUACGUUUGAUACUGAUUUUAAAAAAUGUUUGUAUUCCUUUUAAUACUUAAAAAUAUUUACCUUUCAAGUAUAAAAAAAAGGGUAGAAACAUUUCAUAAAAUCACUACAAAACGCACUUUAAAUCAUAUUAAAAAUAAAAUACAAUUUAUAAACAAAUAAAUACUAUAAAUAUUUAUGGUUUUAUGAAAAAUGAAACUUCACCAAAAAAACUUUUUAAAAAUAAUGAAUUAAUUGGAGUGAGAUACCAUCAUAGGCAUACCCACUUAAGUUUUUUUAAAGAAUUCUCAAGACCUAAAAUGCUUUUAUCUUUUCCCAAACUCAUUCUAUCAUAGACAACGAGAGACAAGGUGGGCCUGAAUGAGGUGGAACCUCCUUGAUCCAUUCCUUUUUCCCUUUCUAUCUAAUCCUUGUUACAGGGUGAUCAAAGCUAUCAAAGAGCCUCUUGAUGAGUGAUUCUAUGAUGGUUAGAAGCUCUUUGUUCAUCUCGUUGUGCAUAUCUAAUUCAUUUCUUUUUCCUUUUCUCAUCACCCAAUAAUAAUUAAAGGUAUUAAAGAGCUCAUUUGAGAAUGAUUUUAAAAAGGUUAGAAGUACUUUACAAUAUUUAGAAGAAUUUUUUUAGUUUACAGGAAUUAGGUGUUAGAAUUUUAUUUUUUUAAAUUACAUUUAAAAAUCACUUAAAAUAAUUCUUGAACAAAGAAAUAAUUAUUUUUCGGUUCCAUAUCAUGUUGGGGAAACAAAUUUCAAAACUUUUUAUUUUUUUAUAUUUAAAAACAAUUAUAAAGAAAGUACUACCGAUGAAAAACACUACCAUGUAAAACCUCGGAAUCACUAUACACGAUCUCAAAAAAUCUAAAAAGUACCGAAAUCUUUGUCCUAGAAUGCUAAUAAUGUGGUAUGUUAACUUAACCAGUUAAAAGUAGCCUCCAAGUGCAUGUCCCAUAUUUUUUGGGUCAUUGCCCAUGUGCCCACGUGCUAAAACACUAAUUCUCCUCACUACAACGAAGACAUGGUAGGUUUAAUCUCUCCAUCUAUCAACCGUGUAGGGCAUACAUCCAUGAUUUUAAAAGACAACAUUGAUAUCAUAUUAAACUAUCAAUUUAAUACCUAAAGGAUAUUUGUCACUAUCUCGUCUACGAAGGGAUUGUCUCUGUAAACCUUUUGGUAACAUGCAGUUUUCUUACUGACCAGCUCUAAAAACAUAGAAGAAUAUUUUAUUUUUAAAAAAAUGGUAGAUCUUAUGGGCCCAAAUCAUCUCAUGAAUCAUACGCCGACAUAGAAAAAGUAAUUUGCACAUUAUGAAAACCACUCCUGUCAGUCAUCCUAAUAGGCCUAUUAUCCCCAUCAACACUUUUUCCUUGGCGGGUAAACGUCAGCGACCAGUGGCCUGGUGUUUUAUGCUCAAACACAUCAUGUGGCACUACUUUCUCCAGUCUUAUUCUUAGAGUAAUUGACAAAUACUAUCAACACCUACCUACUUACUUAAAAGCAUGCAUGGUUUCUUAGAGUCAUGAUAAAAAAUGGAAAACUAAAAAAAUAAAUAAAAAGGAAGAAGCAGUCGCCCCCCCGACAGGGGUCGGAAUGGUCCAUGAAAAGAUAACCUAGAGCACAUGGUUUUAAGCCCGGAAAAUCUUAUGAUGAUUUCUGUCUGAUUUUCUUAACCACAUGCAUGCAUGCUCCCCAGUCAUUAACAUGACUAAUAAUUUAAGGUAGAUGGAUUUGCAUUCCAACAUUCAAAUUAUCGUCCAGAAACAAGCAUCCAUCUGUUCAUGGAUUCUGACAAAACAUAGCCUCCAGCUUUUGAUGGAAAUGGCUUUAAUUAAUUGAUAAGUACUCCUCCAAGGAAUCUCUUUUAAGUCCCACAACCAUGAAUUUAGUUUCAUGGGAAGGUGAUCAAGAUGUUGGGGAACAAAACGCCGACACCAUUACACUAAUAUAAUCACAUUUAGCUUUAUCCUAAACGCCACUAAACCAAAGUUUGAGGCAAUCGGUUCUGUGUUUGGUCAAGAAUUUAUUCGAAAUGGGCUAGGAAGCAUCAUGUUGGGUGUGUUGGGUGUGUUGGGUGUGUGGCUGACCCGACCCCAGUUGGAUAUACGCAACUUUUCCCACGUAUUUUACCAGAUAAUUAACCAUGGACAAUGUGGCUUGAGAUCAGGAUUGAGUCAGGAAAUUCUAUGUUAAGUAACAUCCGAUGAGGAAAUUUUCAAAUAUAUUUAAAUGCGACUGUCGUGAUGGGUUUUGGUAGUUUUAUGAGACCACAUGGGGAGGUAUGGGCGUGAAACGUGUUGUUUUUAGCAAACUUGACGUGGCUUGGGGCGUGAGAUGCUGAGUGUUUGGCGCACAUGCGUUUGCUCACUUCUAGCCAUAUGUCUGCCAAUAUUUCACCAUCUAAGGACAACCAAAGCUUGAUUGCUUGAUCAAGAGUAGUAAGAUACAUCGAUUUAACAAGAAGCCUCUGACACUGUAUAUCUAAUAGAUUUUCUUGAAUCAUAUGAAUACAUCUUGAAGGUAUAUUACAGAUAUUUGGCUUCAUCUUUCUUCAUUCUAAUUUGAUGCAUGUCUUGUUUGUUUUGUGACCUCCAAAUGUUUGAAGUCUAUAAUUAAAUCUAAUGUUUUUUCUUGCUUUCAUCUUAUAUGUUUAGUAUUUAAAAACAUCAAAUAUAAGGUUCAAUUCUAUUAGUAUUUUUCACAUAUUAUUUAAAUAAAUGUCUUAUCUUAGAGUCAGUUAGUUCAAUUGGCAAUUAGAUUUAAUAUUUUUCUUUGCCUACAUUUUUUAUGUUUAACAUUUAAAAACGUCAAGUAUAAGUUUCUACUAGUAUUUUUCACAUGUUUGAAUAAAUAUCUUAUCUUAAAGUCGGUUACUCCAAUUAAAAAUUAAUUUAAUAUUUUUCUUUGCUUACAUUUUAUAUGUUUAGCAUCUAAAGAUGUCAAGUAUAAGCUUAUAUUAGUAUUUUUCAUGUGUUGUUUGAAUAAAUGUCAUAUCUUAAAGUUGAUUAAUUCGAUUGAAAAUUAAUUUAAUAUUUUUCUGUACUUACAUUUUGUAUGUUUAGCAUUUAAAAACGUUAAGUAUAAGCUUCUAUUAAUAUUUUUUUAUGUGUUGUUUGAAGAAAUGUCUUAUCUUAAAGUCGAUUAGUUCAAUUGAAAAUUAAUUUAAUAUUUUUCUGUACUUAUAUUUUGUAUGUUUAGCAUUUAAAAACGUCAAAUAUAAGCUUCUAUUAGUACUUUUUGUGUGUUGUUUGAAUAAAUGUCUUAUCUAAAAGUCGAUUAGUUCAAUUGAAAAUUAAUUUAAUAUUUUUCUGUACUUAUAUUUUGUAUGUUUAGCAUUUAAAGACGUCAAGUAUAAGCUUCUAUUAGUAUUUUUCAUGUGUUGUUUAAAUAAAUGUCUUAUUUUAGACUUCACAAGAGAGAUUUAUCACAAUCUCAUGAAACAUAAUAAGGAAUUUUAUUUGUUUAAUUUCAAAAUUUUAUAUUAGGAUUUAAGGUUUAUAACAUUAAUCUAGUUUUAUUAAGUAGAAGUUAUUCCGAACAAAACUUAUAUGAAGUUUCUAUGGGUAUCGUGGGAAAAAAAAUUAUCAUUGUACAAAUCCCAUUUCUCAUUGACUUAAGGUUUUUAAUAAAAACCAUAUGAUAAGUAUAUACAAAACUCAAAUGGACCACAUGAUAUGAACCAUAUGAAUAUGUACAUUCAAAACUCAAAAUGGACCACAUCGUCUUCACCAACCCAUAUGAAUAUUACCUUUGAUUCCAACUCUUUUUAUUCUCUCUUAUGUAAUCCUAACUAAUAAAUUAUAUUUUCAAAAAAAACAUCGAUAGCAUAUCUCAUUUCCUAACUUGUAGUUUCAUGUGACUCAAAUCUUCCUUUGUCUCUCAUAUCAAUUGUUGAAUCGGGUUUUAAUUAUCUCAUCUAAAAACUAAUUUAAAUCUACUAAAAAUAGGGUAAACCACCAUAUGAUAUUCACGGUCACCGUACUUAUCUUUUAAAUUAAAAAUAACAUUUUCGCAUCCCAACAAAAUGUAAAUAAAAGCAAAAGCUAUGAUUGGUAAGUAGAAGGUAGGUAAGUAGCAUGUUUGGAAAUUUUGAAGGGGAGAGUGGAGGCUGCAAGUAAGUUAAUGCACCAAACAGUGAUGCAGUCCAAGAAUCUUUCAAAAAUAUUUCAUUAUAAUAAUAAACCCCACAUAAGGACAAGUAAAUCAAAUUUGUUUUCACAAACAUAAAGUUAAUAAAUCCAGUGCUUUUGCCUUUAAAAAUGAUGGUAGUUACCAAUGGUUGGUCCAUGUUCUAGAAAAGGGGCAGGCACCCUCUUAUUAUCUUAUCAUUAUUACCAGUAAUCUCAUCUUUUCCAAUCUCCUAGAAAGGAAAAAAAAUUAAGGGCCAAUAAAAAAAUGGAAUUAAAUAAAAUUGGAUAAUGGGGUUUGAGACCUUUGGAACUUCCCUGGCACAUGUCUGUCGCUUUCAGUGACAAUUUAAUAUCUUUUAACCAAGAAGAAAGAAUAUAGAGACCAACAAUUUUCUAGUUUCUAUCUAUUCCAACUGUCAACCCUUUCAUAAUUUUAAUUUGUAGUUAGGUCUAAUUAAACUACAAUUUUAUCAUUAAUUAGUCAUGUCAACUUAGAAUUCAACUAAAAUUUUGAUAUAAAAUUUGGGACUAAAGUCAAUUUAAUGUAAUUUAAGCUAUCAUUAAAGUUUUAAUUUUAAUUUGGGAGCCAACCACUCGCCACAAUUGGGGAUUUGCGUUUAAAUUUGCUUAUUUUAAAAUGAAUGCACCCACCAAUUUAAAGUGUUGACUAUAAACUUUUUUUUCAUGGUAUAUUCCUUGUUAGCAUAUUAGGAUUUAUUUCAAAAUACUUUUCUAAACUAUUCUCAAUUGUAUUAAAAAAUAAAAUUUUAUAUAUCUACAACAAACAUUUUUUUUAAAUUUAUUCUUCAUUUUUUAAAUUAUUACUUUUAAUACUUUCUAAAAAAAAAUGAAAAUAUCUUAAAUUUAUUUUUAAAAUAAAUUAUUAAAAACUUAUUUUUUUAUCAAAAAAAUUAUCAAGUAUGUUUUCUAAAUUAAAAAGCACACCAUUGCCAAACAUGCCCUUAAUUGCUUGCAUUAGAAAGGAUACGCAUGAUUGGAGUGUUCUCGUAGAUAGACGGGAAACUGAGGGUUUAUUGGUAAGUGCCGUUGGCUCCAAAAAGUGGAAAAGCGAAGCUGGUUUUGCCCCUAGGAAUGGGGCCGGGCCCGCUUGCCCGGCCCAUUCAUUGUAACAGCAAAAGAUGCGGUUUUACCAUUUUGGCCCUGCCCCGCGCCCCUAUAAAUUGGAACCUUCCUUCUCCUUUCGCUGGGGCUUUCCUUUCUCUCUUAGUUUCUUCCUUCUCAGAGGUUUUUUAACAAACAGUUGGGGAAAUGGCCAAAGGUGGUGGUGGGAAGCUGACGAAGCUGAAGUCAGUGAUAAAGAAAUGGCAGUCAAUUGGGAAGCUUGGGCGGGCAAACGGCAGCUCAAUUGCCGCCGCGAGCCCCUCGGACGACGACAGCGACUCCAGAGACCUCCACCCGGUCUACGUGGGUAAGUCGCGGCGGCGCUACCUCGUUGGCUCCGACGUCAUGGAGCACCCACUGUUCCGGGAGCUGGUGGAACGGUCCGGAGACUCCGACACGGUAAACGUUGCAUGUGAGGUGGUACUGUUCGAACACCUCCUCUGGAUGCUUGAAAAUGCUGAUCCCCGCCCAGAAUCACUGGAGGAGCUGGUUGAGUUCUAUGCCUGCUAAUCGCUUGUAGACAUGAAAUAACCGCUGAAGAGGAUGAUUCCAUUCCUGGGUACGGACUCAUCCACAGAGUACAAGAAAAAAAGUUGUAAAUUUUUUCAAGGCAAUAAUGAUUAGCGGUGUAGAAAUCAAAGAUGAUAGAGAGAAUUGAGAAGCGACGUUUAACCCAUUUCACAUCGGCUAAUCUCGAGGGGCGGUGGGCCCGAUGAGAACUAUGGCUUUUGCAUAUUAUUUAUAUCUAUAUGUAUAAUGUUAUAUUCUUCUCUGUUCAUUCUCAGGUGUAUAAUGUUUAUUCUUAAUCUUCAUUCGUAAAUCUGUUUCAUCCAGCUAAUUCCUUCUUCUUCUUGUAGUUGAUCGUCUUUUAAUUUCUAUUUUGGUUUUGGUGGGUGUUUGGAAACCUUGAAAUCAGAUGAAAAAUCAAAUGAAAAUCGGUGGUGGAUAGUGAGACGUGUAGAACAGGGCUGUAACCUGCGUUUUUCAUGAUGAUAGAUUAACAGAAGUUGGGCCAUUCAGCUUUUAGUCCUUGAAACAAGGAUAAAGUUCAGUGACUGUCUACAAGCAGUACAGCGUCCCAAACAGAUCAUACAAUGUUGUAAUAAUAUUAUUACAACCGUAAAUAAAAUAAUUUGGGCAAGACCACGAAUCAUACAAUAUUGCUGUCGCAGUCAGUAAUAUAAUUUUUGUUGAGACAGCAAUUAGAAUUAAGGUGAUUAUAAUAUCAAACCAAAGGAUUGUAUAAUUUAAGUUACUAAUGAUUGGGUGGUUAGAGAUGCCCUGGAGGGUACACGGGCACACCCCACUUACACUAAACAAUAUCCAAUGACUUUCUUUCCACAUCUUGCUAAGUGGAAGACACGAAAUUUGUUUAGUACACGGAAUGGUCUUAGAAGAUGUAAGGCUGUAACGCGUUUCCAUCCUGCCUUUGCCAACCAUAAAGCUCUCUGCCCUACUAAACAAGUCCUGAUUUAUGAUUACAAUCGGUUUGACCUCAUCACGCCGUAUAUGUUAAUAAGAUGUGAAAAAUAUGAUCAUCGGAAGACUGAGGAUAAAAACAAUGAUUUUAAAUUAUGUAUUAGAAUUCGAUCAAAACUUCCAUAUGAUAGCAACUCUUUUUCAUGAUUAAUUAAGUGGGUUGAUGAAACUAUAGCGGCUUUAACAUCAAAGUGAUGGUGAUUGAAAUUUUUGUCAAUUUUAAGGACCAUGUUAAAAGGUUGCUUUUGAUUCCGACAAGGGUUAGGUUUUGAGGAAGGAAGAAACCCAAAACUUUUUGAAGUUCAUGUAUGUGGAUACUGGAUGGUUAUUACAACAAAAAAUGACACAACUAUUAAUGCAAAUUUCUUGUUUUAUAUUGGAGUUUAAUAUAUGAAUUUAGUGUUGAAUUGGGUUUGGUUGUAACGUUGGAAGAAGACAAGAAAAGUCGUAAAAGAUGCUGGCCUUAUUUUGCGGCUUUUUCAUGGAGAGAUGCCCCAAUCAUCUUUUUUAUUAUACCAUGCUUGUCCUUAUUUUUGGAUGAAAUAUAAGAUUAUUUUAACCUAGUUUUUUAGUACCAUAUAAAUUGUUAAUGCAAUGGUUUCAUUUCUUUAUGAUAAGUACUUUGAUCCAAUGGUCUAAAUUUAAUCAUAACAUUUUUUGUAAAGUGUACUGUUUAGUGAGGUUAUUUGAGUCAUUUAAGUGGGGAAUGAAGUCACAGAGAGACCCCAAAGAGCAGCCCACGUGGGGAGUAGGCCUAGAAAUCGGAUUUGGCAAGUGGGUGGGCCUUAUAAUUCUCACGGGUUCAUGUUGUCUAUGUGAUUUUUGUCCGCAAAUUAAUGAAUACAUGGAUUGAAUACUGAUGCCACUCGGGAGAGGUGGGGGUGGAGGGAAUGUCUUUGAGUCUUCGAGUGUAAUAUGCCAACCACUCGUACGUGCAAAUCCAGCGUAUCAACCAUUAUGAUUACAAAUCAAAUGCAACAAAAUCAUCUUAUUUCGAAUUUUAAUAUUUUAAUAUUCUAACUCCCAAUUAAAAAGACACGAAAAUGGUGGAGUAUUUGGAAAAAAUAUUUUUUUUCUUAUAAACCUCACUUUCUUUCUAUUUUCUUUCAGAGUCUUUACUCCUUCAUUUCUUUCCCCACACGUAAAAUUCUUCUCUAAAAUAAAAUUUGGUAAUUAUAGUUUUUUACUUAAUAUUCUAAAACCAACAUUUCUUUUUAAUUAAAAAAAACCUACUUUUUGAGAAGACUCCAAAAAUGAUUUGAAUUAAAUUGAUGGAUGGAACCAAAUGAUGGCAGGAAUGGAAGGAAAAUUGGCAGUGGACCAAGACCCGAAGCAUGUUUAGGAGACAAGUGUGGCCCUGGGCUAAGAGGACAAAAUGAGGAUGAAAAGGGUCUCCAGCCACCACACUGCCAGGCAUUCAAAAUCAAAAUCACCCCAAACAACAGCCGAAGAUUGCGCUUGAAACGACCGUUCACUUUCUUUGUCAAUCCUGUAACAGUCUUUCACAAUUACCACUCCUCUCACACUAUCUUGGAACGAAAGUUCCUCUUCUCUCUCCAACACCCGAUAACCUUUCCGUGAAUUUAUGAAAAAGCCAAUCAAUCCUGUUUCAAUUUAAAUUAUAUGGAUGGGGUUAUCGUUCAUAUUCUUAUCUGAAAAGAGGUAGAAAAUGAGUAGAAUAAUCUCCAGAUGUCAACAUCGCUAGCCAGGUUAGGCCAUCACCUAUUAGGUACGAUGCGCUUCUUUUUUGUUAUUUCAACCAAGUUGGAAUUCAAAACAACAGCUACUAGGCUCCAAGGAUGGUAAAAACAAAAGACACGACAUGUGAUGUCUAUAAACCCUGAAAUCCCACGUUCUCACCUCCCGAACUACUUGAACACUGUAAUGGCUUGUCUUGCAGAAAGACCAAAGAGCAGGAGAGAGCGACGACUAGAAGAAUCAAACGGAUGGGGGAAGAGUCAAGACUGUGAGUAGAGAAAAAGAGGUCAAGGAAAACGAAGGGUGCAUAUGGGAUGAGGAAGGGAGGACCGAUAUGACGUGGAUGAUAAUCUACUCGGCCAUUCUCAUACCAAAACACAUGUGCUUUCUACCAAUUGUGUCGGGAGAAUUUCUGCUUGUGGGGGCCUUCUCAGUCUUCCCCUUCCUCAUUUUUACAUGUUUUUCAUGGUUAAUUUUAUAUCCCCUCCCCUUCAUCUCAAUCUCAGUCUUUUCAUUCUAUGUCAAACCUCCUGUAUUAAAUGUACUCAAUUCCACUAUUUUAUUGAACAACUCCUAUCUCUACUGGUUAAUCAAUCUGCCUACGAAUAGACUUAAUUGAUUCAAUUUAAUUCAAAUCAAAUCUAAUGAACCGCAUUUAGAUUUUAACAACUACAUGGAAUCAAAUACAAUGAAGUCAACUUGGAACAUGAUUGAACAGUUGAUAGAAUCCAAAUAUGCUUUUCCCAUUUGUAAGGUAGCAGUAUAUUGUAUGAAUGGUUCAAAUUAGGGAAGACAAAUGGCUGCCAACAUCCACCACAACUUCCCCAUGCUAGUCAAUUUUAAUGAUGAUAAAAGUACACUCUAUUUAACUAAACAAAGUUAACACUUGCUUAAAUCAAUUUUAAUCAUCACUCGGAGUGCAACUCAGUCAUAAUGCCCUCUUAUGAUAAACCAAUACCAUGUUGGAUUGACUGAAUAUAAAACAAAAUAGGAUGGUUAAAAUAUUGUUUGUAUAUCAUCUUUAAUAUAAGAAGGACUAGACAUAUUUUCCUACCUUUUUUUAUGAUAUUAUAUUUAAUAUAUGUACUAUUUUGAUAUAUUAUAUUUAAUAUAUAUAUAUAUAUAUAUAUAUGCAAUUUUUUAUUUAUAAAAUUUAAAUAUUAUUAAUAAAAAAAAUACAAAAUUAAUUACUAAAUUAUAAAUUGUUAAACAUUUUAUUAGUAUUCCAUAUUUUUUUAUAGCAUAGUCUUUAUUUUAAACAAAUAUCAAACAUUGGAAGAUAAAUAUGUUUUCCAUUUCAUUUUUUUAUUCAUUUUAUAAAGCUAAAUAUAAGUGUUUCAUAAUAUAUGUCAUUAGAUAUAGUACUUUAAAAUAUCAUAUUGUAUUAAAAAUAAUAUAGUGGGCUAUUAUUGAAUAUAUGUAUCCCAAUUCCUAUCCAUUGAGAUAUCGUAGGAUAUAGAUAUUGUAUCAUUUUUUAUACAAUCAACCAAAUAUAAUACAAAUAUCUUAAGUUUAAUGAGAAUCUUUAUAUCGAAAAAAAAAAUUGUAACUCCAAAUUCUUAAAAACUAACAAGAUCUUAGGCAUAAAGUUGGAUUUAUAGGUAUAUAAGAAAAAUUGAUAUGAUUAAAGCUAAACAUGAAUAUGUCACACAAAGUAAUGAGAUCAAAUGAGAUCCCACAUAUGAUACAAAGUAAUAACAAAUCAAGGUGAAAUUGCAUUACACACUUGGCACCCCCUGAUUGGCAAUACGUUUUCGGUAAGGUAACCCUUGGUGGUACAGUUUAACACAAUAGUAGUGUUGGAGACUGGGCCGGAUCAGCUGGGCCUGGGGCCCAUUAGGCCCAACAACAAAGUUUACUAAAAAUAGCCCAACCUAACAUUACAAAGCUCAAAUCCACCAACCGCCCUUCCAUUUUUACCUUUCAUUUUUUGGGACUCACAAAAUCACAGGCCCAUUACGAAAAACACGACCAACUUCAAGCAUCUUCUAUGUCUCGCUUUAUAAAUCAUAUGUUCAAUUCCACCACCAAAAUUUUCCGAUUUGAUUCGCGGGAACCAAACAGCAAUGUGUAUGCCUGAGAAAACGAUGCAUUUGGGCGCUGUGACGACGCUGCUGCUGGCGUCGCAGUUCAUGAUUUUCAUCCCAGCCGUCGUCUCCGACAAAACCAAGCACAUUCCCUCCGAUACCUCCAAGCUAGACGCCUGGAUCGCCACCAACAUCCGGGAAUACCGGCAGCGAAUAUGGGAGAGCAAAAAGGGCCUGCACUCAUCUCUCGAUCCUAUACUCGUCGCCGCCGAGGCAGAAGUGAAUGUGAUCAAGGUCAGAAAAGAUGGCACCGGCGAUUUCAAGACGAUCACCGACGCUCUCAACAGCAUCCCCAAGGGCAACCUCAAGCGCACCGUCAUAUGGAUCGGCGGCGGCGAGUACUGGGAGAAGAUCACCAUUGAUCGGUCCAAGCCGUUCAUCACUUUGUACGGAUCGACGGCUGAUAUGCCGUCGAUAACGUACGACGGAACGGCGUUCAAGUACGGAACAGUCGACAGCGCCACCGUGGCGGUUGAGUCGGACUACUUCAUGGCCGUUAAUAUUGCAUUUGUGGUGCGGACGGUACUCUUCCUAUAUUCGUUUACACUCUUCCUUCAUGCCUAACUUGCUUGUUUUCAAUUUGGACCAUGUUUUUUUAUUAUUUAUUUAUUUAUGUUUUAACAGAGUUCCAACUUCCAACAGUUACCAUCAACUCCCAUUUUUAUUUUGAAGUUUGAACUAAUCCAUUAUUUAAUACUGUAUCUUUGAAUGGCCGACCAAGGAUUUUGAGUCUUUACCAUGCUUUGAAAAUCUUUUUGAAUAUGAAAAAUAAUUUUUUGAGCCUGUUCAAGUGUUUUGAAAUAGAAAAUUUGCUUUGUAUUUUAAAUAAUUGAAGAAUGUUUGUAAAAAUAGUUUUUUUAUGAUUGAAAGUAAAAUAAAAUAUAAAAAUGGUUUAUUAAUAAAUAUGAGAAUAUGAAUAUAUUCGUGAAAAUAAAAACUAGCCCUUAUUUGUAAUAUUUUCAUUUUUAUUUUUAUUUUACUAAUCUUGAUGGAUUUGGGUGGGUUUGUACUGCAAAAAUAAGAAUGAAAAUAGGAAGAGAAUAAAUACUAGAAAAAAAAAUCAAAAUGAAGAUUUGAUUUUUGUAUUAAUGAAUGUUUUAUUUAUAUUUCAUUUCUAAAAAAUAAUCCAAACAUAUUAACAAAUAUCAAUAGAAUUGAUUUUUUAUUCCUAAGCGAUCCAAACAUCUAUGACAGUGAUUUCAACGUGAUAGUUCCUUUCUUACUAUGAUCAGCAAAAAUUCAUUUUGCACUAAUUUCAUCCAUCCACAACUGAAAAGGAGAAAAACAAAAGGAGGCAAAAAAGAAAAAGAAGAAGAAAGUUUUGACAAAUAGAUUCUAAUAGGGACUGCACCAUGAUUGAGGGAGGAGGAGAGUUGAGGGUAUAGGUGUGUGAAAAUCAAUUAAUACUCUUGUGAUAUUAAUUUCAGCUUUGAGGUGCUGACGAUAAUAAUUUGUUUGAUGUUAUGGGCUAUCAGAAUUCAGCUCCUAUGCCAGACGGAAAAAGGGUGGGAGCUCAGGCAGUGGCCAUGAGGAUCUCCGGCGACAAAGCAGCAUUCCACAACUGCAUGUUCAUAGGGUUUCAAGACACCCUUUGUGACGACAGGGGCAGACAUUUCUUCAAGGACUGCCAAAUCCAGGGCACCGUUGAUUUCAUCUUUGGGGACGGCAAAUCACUCUACUUGGUACAAUACCCUAAAUCUACACACUACUAAUCUCCAUUAUCAACAUGAUUUCAGGUGGUAUUAGGACUGAUUACAUCUGGGAUUUCAACGCAGAACACAAUGAUACAAUCAGUUGCAAAGGGCGUGGGCGUGAUCACAGCUCAGGCAAGGGAAAACGUGGCUGAUACCAGCGGAUUCGCCUUCGUCCACUGCAACAUAUCCGGCAGCGGAGACACUUAUCUCGGCCGAGCAUGGAGGUUGAGGCCCAGAGUGGUGUUUGCUUACACCUACAUGGGCACUCUCAUCAACGGCGAAGGUUGGUCGGAUAACUUGCAUGCUGAUCGUGACAAGUAAGAACCCACUUCUUUCCAUCUAGUAUAUUCAACAUUCUCAGAAAAGUUAUUCACAAAUGUGAUAGUAUUACAUGGGGAAAAAGCAAUUGUUUUAAUCUGAUGGCGAUGAUUCAAUUUGUAGGACUGUAUACUAUGGGGAGUACAUGUGCGAAGGACCAGGAGCAACCCCGUCUGGCCGAGUUAAAUUUGCGAAGUUACUGACUGGUGAAGAAGCAAAGCCCUUCUUGAGCAUGACCUACAUCAAUGGCAACAAGUGGCUUCUGCCACCUCCCAAUUAUGUGUAGAUUGUGUCGCCAAAAACAUGUUUUUUUUGCAUAUUAGUAUCUAGUGUAUUAUAAUAGGUUUCAGCAUGCUAAAAGCCUAAAUCUCGCUUGUUUUUUGGAAUAGGCUUACAAGGUAUCUUUGUUCAUGAUUUCGUGACUAGCCUGACAGAAGUUAUAUUACAUUGUUCAUGGUGCCUCUGAAUAGAAUUAAGUUGGAAAUGAAAAAUUAUCUACAAUUCUGUAACAAGUACGAAUGAAAGCUAAUGGGUAAUUGAUCUAUACAAUGUAUGACAAGUUGGUUUAAGUUAAAACUAUAACAUCUUACUAUUAUUAUACGGGCUGCACGUGGAUUCAAUGAAAUUAAGGAGUUCAACCUUUUUAAUAUUUGAAAGAAAAGAGGUUGAUCGACCUCCUUUCUUCUCUUAUAAUCUUUUUGCAUAGAGUCUGUCUUCUCUAGCCUGUAAAUUAAGAUGGAAAAUACUAUAACAUAUGGCCAUUAUUAUUUUACUAAUGAACUGACUAUCAAUAUGACAGAAUCAUGCCUUCCAAAUCCCAUAAUAGCCCCCAAGCACAAUUUCCCUCUAGGAGGAAGUUUAAGUUUGUUUGAUAAUGCUUUUAAUAAAUAAUUUAAGAUGAGAAGCAUUUUCAAAAUACUUUUAAAAAAUUGAAUAAUUACCAAUAAUGUUUAUUUAUUUAUUUUAUAACUACUCGAUAAAUAAUUUAAAAAAAAAUAUUUGAUGAGAAAGCACUUUCACUGAAAGUGCAUAAAAAACACCCUCCGCUGGUAAGUGCAACCUUAUAAGAGUCAGACAUGGAUCCAACGCAAACGUCUAGGAGACCCUUUGAGAGAGAGAAAAAAAAAAACAAAAAAAAAACGAGGCAUUAAUGAUGGUUUAAAAGCUAAAAGGCCAUGCAUUGUCUUCAGUUUCCCUUUUGUCUCUUUCUUGGAAACGACGUGGAUUUUUGGGGUUAGAUUGGGAGUUUAAGACCAAAAUAAUUUAUUUGUAAAAAAAAAAUGAUGUAUCCAUUUUAAAAUAUUUGUCAAAGUAGUCUUCUUUAUCCAUGUAAACAUCCACAUGGAUUUUAAAUGUAAAAAACCAUUGUUGGUGACUGUAAUUUUAAAACUUACAGAAAUUUCCUUAAAACCACAUUUAUAAACUGUGAUUUUACAAUUUCUCUUAGAAUUACAGAUACUAACUGUAGUUUUAAAAGAAGUAUCCUUAAAACCACAGUUACAAACUAUGGUUUUACAAUUUCCCUUAAAAUCACAGUUAGUAACUGUGAUUUUACAAUUAUUUUCAAUUCGUAUCUAUUUUAAUGGUGUUGUAAUUUUAAUAUUAUUUUUAAAAUAUUUUUUUAUCAAAAUUACAAUUAUGUUGUAAUUUUCACAAAUAUUUUUAAGGGGAACUCAUGUGUAAAAAAGUAUGGGAUUUUAAAACUUCGCUUUUCACAAAUUUUUUCGUUACGACUGUUUUAAAUAUAUAUAUAUAUAUAUAUAUAUAUAUAUAUAUAUAUAUAUAUAUAUAUAUAUAUAUAUUAUCUUUAUUUUUCAUAUUUUCUUUGAAAAUUUGAGAAAAUAAUUUGGUUUACAUGCAUUCUCAUAAAAAUUUAUAUAUUUAUGGUAAAUAAAAUAUUUAUUUGUUUUACAAAUAUUUUCACAUAUGAACUAAAGAAAAUUAUUUAUUCAUAUUAUUUUAAAAUUUUAAAAUAACUAAAGAAAUUGUUUAUAUUAUUUUAAAAUUUUAUAUUUUCAUAUGAAAAUUAAUGCCAAUGAUUAUGAUUUUAGGUUAUUUAUUAUUAAGUAUGAUUUGAAUGUGAGAUAUCCGGGUGGAAUGUCGGCGGAGAAGAAUUCCGGAUGUGAGAUGCCCGGGUGGAAUGUUGGCGGAGAAGAAUUCCAGAUGUGAGAUACCCAGGUGGAAUGUCGGCGGAGAAGAAUUCCGGAUGUGAGACAUUCGGAUAAGAUAGAACGUUGGCCGAACAGAAUUCCGGAUGUGAGACAUCAGGGUGGAAUGAGUGAGAUUUCCAUCCGAGUGGAAUGAGCUAUGUCCGACACAAUAUACACAUAAUUUUUAAUUUUUUAUUAAAAAAAGGAAAAUAAACAAGUGGAUUAUGAUUAAUUUUUUAUUUUUUAUUUAAAAAAGGAAAACAAACAAGUGGAUUCUUAAUUUUUUAUUAAAAAAAGGAAAAUAAACAAAUGGAUUAUGAUUAAUUUUUUAUUUUUUAUUUAAAAAAGGAAAACAAAUAAGUGGAUUUUUAAUUUUUUUAUUAAAAAAAGGAAAAUAAACAAGUGGAUUUUUAAUUUAUUUUUUAUUUUUUAUUUAAAAAAGGAAAACAAACAAAUGGAUUUUUAAUUUUUUUAUUAAAAAAAGGAAAAUAAACAAGUGAAUUUUUAAUUUUUUAUUCAAAAAAGGAAAAUAAACUAGUGGAUUUUUAAUUUUUUUAUUAAAAAAGGAAAAUAAACAAGUUAGUUAGAAAGCUAAGGAAAAUGAGGGAAAAAAAAAACUUACCUAGUAGAUGCUAUUGGUGGGAGCCGUUGAUGGUGGGAGCCCGACGGUGAGGAGAGAUGGUGGGAGCCCCAGAGAAGAGAAAAUAAUAAUUAGAGUUUUUGUUGAAUGAUUUCGAAUGAAAAAAUUGAGUCUUCAGAGUAGUGGAUUGCUAACGUGGAUUCAAAAGACUAUUUUGACAAAUAGUUUGAAAGUUGUAUUAAUUUGAUUUUUUUUUUUUUUUUUAAUAAACAUUACUUUGGCUGCAAACUCUUAGAUUGGGAUUCGCAGCCGCCUCAGGUAAGAGAAGCUCUCAUUCUCAACCAUCCAACUCAUAUACUACGUAUUGUCAAUGUCCACAAACUUAAAACUCUCAACGUCUUAUCCUCACCUCAUCUCUCUCUCUCCUUCAAUUCAACCGUUUGAAAAGACAAAGCUUUCACGUACCCUGUACCAAUUGACCAGGAAUCUGUUGAUUUUUUAUUCAAAUUCUAUGUGAACGUUAGGUGACUACUGACAACCAUCAGCCACAUGCCAUAUUUUUGUUGCAUUGAAGGCGGUGAUAUAUUAAUAGUAAGUUGAUUGUUAAUAUGGUGACCAAAACUAAAAAAUAAAAAAUAAAAAAUAAAAAUUGUUAUAAUUUUUGCUGUGACCCACAUGUAGUCUCCAUAAAUAAUCUAUCAUUAGUUCAUAAUAUAAUCUUUUCCUCAAGAUUUUCUUGAUCAGAGAAUCAUGUCUGCGGUGACGAUCUGGGAAUCAUGCAUGUGCGAGAGAUAUUUGCAUAUACCAUCACCCAAUCAUGUUUCAGCCCAGAAAUUCAUAUAUUAAGGCUUUCUUAGCUAGCAUAGCUCGCUAAUGAGAUUCGAAAAUGAAUGAAAAUAAUUAACAAACUUUUCCCUAAUCUUAGCCAGUGCACCAUAACUAUAAACAUUCUAAGAGGUUUUGGUCGAAGGCGCAUAUGAUGAGAUGAUGCAUGAAACUAGAACGAACCACAUGACUUCACUUCAUCUCAAAACGCUAUCAAUUUGAAGGCAAGCUUCGGUUAUUUAAGAUUGAAAAAGAGUAUUAGUAAAGCUGCAACAUCCUCAAAUGAUGGAUGCCAUAUACCAACACAAAAUAACAGAACACUUGCAGAACGUUAUGAGGUGAAAACACAUGUUAAUAGACCCAUCAAUCAGAAUCCCGACACAGAGGUUUUGAAAUGUUAAUGUGAAAUAAUCUGUGAAUAAUAAGUUUGCUCUGAAUUCAAUCAAACAUUAGUUACAGCUCACAUCCCAAUAGAGAUGAGAAGGGGCUAGCAAUUACCCCUUCCCAUCCUUAGUUACCCAAUACAAUUGAAAUAAAGAACUAACCAAAAAUUCCUAUUGUUUGUCACUUUACCAGAGGAGAAGUUUGCACAUCAUAUAUUCAUACGAGGAGGCCUUGCUUUACACCCGAAAAAGAAUUAGCUCCAAAAUUUGAACCAUUGAAAACCCCACUGCACUUACUCUUCCAAGGUUAAUGAUCUUCCAGCUGCAAAAUCACCAGGAGAAGUGGAGUUCAGUAAAGCAAAUACAAUAAUGAAGAGGAUUCUCCUGCAUCUCAUUCCAGUAAUGGCAGAUACAUGUGACAGAUAACAAAUUAAGGGCAUAUUUUGAAGCAAUUUCAGAUUGGAUUAUUUUAUUGUUUGUACUAUUCAUUCAUUGCACUGCUUCAGACGUUUUUCUAAAGGAAAAUAUAAUUUAAGCCAAACACUGGUUUUCAGAAUACAAGAUUACCCUUAAACUCCUGCCUCCCACCCUCAAACCGAGAAGGCAGUUUAGACGACUGAACCCUCUUUCUGAAAUAGCCCUCUAUAACCUUCUCCAAAGACAAUAAUUUUUUACCAAGAAUUCCUAUUAGUAAGCCAUUCAAUGGAACUGGCUUCUAGACAGACCCCUCAAAAUCAUAAAAUUUAUUGGAGGAAAAAAAGAAAAGAAAAAACUUACAUGUAUUGUUUUCAUCAGGUUGAGCCUCAGGAUGGCUCUCCAUGCACUUCAUCAGGUACUUGAAGGUCUCAAUCUCGCAUGGGAUUGUGAGCCCACCACUGUGAUCAAAUCCAAACUCCUCUUCCACCUUUUCCAACAGCACCUUGAACAGCGGGUGGGUAAGAUAGCUGGUGGGAAUGAUGAACCUCCGAAGCUCUGACCCUACAUAAACCGCCAAAUACCCUUUGGGGACAUCAGGUGGUGGUUCAGGGCUGUGGCAACCAUCCUCAUCUGAAUCUGAGAUAACAUUUGAGUUCCUCAACCUCAUAUUAAUUGCUGGUGAAAUGCCCCCGGGCGUUUGAUUGGGGUGGACACUAUUAUUUCCUUUUGGGCUGAGAGUGACUGAUUGCCACUUCUGAAGGAAUUCCUUCAACCGAACAAUCUGCCUGAUUCCGGUCACCUUGUUACUCCCAUUGUCCUCCAUUGCCAUAUGCUUAGCAAAAUAGUGAUGAGAAUUCCAGGGUCGAAUUCAGAGCUUUUGAUUCCAAGCAAAUAUGUCUCAUCAGAUCUUCUUCCACUAUAUGCAAGUAGAAAAAAAAUUAGAAUCUACAAGUACGAAAGAAAAGAAUCAAGAGACAGCAUCACGAACAAGACAAUUUUCAGAUUUAUGAUGUUGUAAGGUGUUCCGCCUUUCAGCACAUGAAAUCCACAGAUUCCAACCAGAAGGUGCCGCAAUUCCACCUCUUAUAGCACAACAGAUAUGUAUCUUGAUGCGUGAGAUUGGAAAAUUCAAUUCUUCCCUGUUAUUUACAAUUGAAAAUAUCACAUUAGGAGAACCAAAGCUACCGGUGAAAUAUUCGAACAGAGUACGAAAAUUCUCUUUCAAAGGUAUGUUAAACAGGCUUAUUUUCCCCCUUUUUUUCACCUUUCUUAAAUUCCUUACAAUUAACUUCGAAUAACCUGAACUAACUUCUCUUUUGUAAGC